GUGACUUUGUUCAACGGCCGCGGUAUCCUAACCGUGCGAAGGUAGCGUAAUCACUUGUUCUUUAAAUAAGGACUAGUAUGAAUGGCAUCACGAGGGCUUUACUGUCUCCUUUUUCUAAUCAGUGAAACUAAUCUCCCGUGAAGAAGCGGGAAUUAACUUAUAAGACGAGAAGACCCUAUGGAGCUUUAAACCAAAUAACAUUUGCUAUUUUACAACAUUCAGAUAUCUAAUCUUUAUAGCACUAUGAUUACAAGUUUUAGGUUGGGGUGACCGCGGAGUAAAAAUUAACCUCCACAUUGAAGGAAUUUCUAAGCAAAAAGCUACAACUUUAAGCAUCAACAAAUUGACACUUAUUGACCCAAUAUUUUGAUCAACGAACCAUUACCCUAGGGAUAACAGCGCAAUCCAUUAUGAGAGCUAUUAUCGACAAGUGGGCUUACGACCUCGAUGUUGGAUCAGGG
rnacentral:rRNA from 1 species